AGCAGCCGCGGUAAUUCCAGCUCCAAUAGCGUAUAUUAAAGUUGUUGCAGUUAAAAAGCUCGUAGUUGAAUUUCGGGAUCAGUACGCUGGUCGUGCCUUUGGUAUGUACUGGUGUCACUGAUUCCUCCCUUCUGAAGAACCGUUAUGCCAUUUAUUUGGUGUGGCGGGAAAUCAGGACUGUUACUUUGAAAAAAUUAGAGUGUUUAAAGCAGGCUCGCGCUUGAAUACAUUAGCAUGGAAUAAUGAAAUAGGACGUUUGAUCUUAUUUUGUUGGUUUCUAGGAUCGACGUAAUGAUUAAUAGGGAUAGUUGGGGGCAUUAGUAUUCAAUUGUCAGAGGUGAAAUUCUUGGAUUUAUUGAAGACUAACUACUGCGAAAGCAUUUGCCAAGGAUGUUUUCAUUAAUCAAGAACGAAAGUUAGGGGAUCGAAGACGAUCAGAUACCGUCGUAGUCUUAACC
rnacentral:rRNA from 1 species